AAGCGGAGGAACAUGUGGUUAAAUUCGAUGAUACGCGAGGAACCUUACCCGGGCUCAAACGUGACUGGAAUGUCCGCGAAAGCGGGCAGACCUUCGGGGCCGGUCACGAGGUGCUGCAUGGUUGUCGUCAGCUCGUGCCGUGAGGUGUCGGCUUAAGUGCCAUAACGAGCGCAACCCCUACCGACAGUUGCUAACAAGCGAAGUUGAGGACUCUGUCGGGACUGCCGGCGCAAGCUGCGAGGAAGGCGGGGAUGACGUCAAAUCAGCACGGCCCUUACGUCCGGGGCGACACACGUGUUACAAUGGCGGGUACAGCGGGAGGCCAUGCGGCGACGCAGAGCGGAACCCGAAAACCCGUCUCAGUUCGGAUUGGAGUCUGCAACCCGACUCCAUGAAGCUGGAUUCGCUAGUAAUCGCGCAUCAGCCACGGCGCGGUGAAUACGUUCCCGGGCCUUGUACACACCGCCCGUCAAGCCAUGGGAGCCGGGAGUGCCUGAAGUGCGUGAGCGCGAGCAGCGCACUAGGGUAAAACCGGUGACUGGGGCUAAGUCGUAACAAGGUAA
rnacentral:rRNA from 1 species